rnacentral:rRNA from 1 species
AAAAAAUGACUCUCGGCAACGGAUAUCUCGGCUCUCGCAUCGAUGAAGAA